rnacentral:misc_RNA from 1 species
UCCCUGUUACCAGGGCAGUCUGAUUAGAAAAAUUCAACUAAUCACAAGGGUUGCGCUCGUUGCGGGACUUAACCCAACAUCUCACGACACGAGCUGACGACGGCCAUGCAUCACCUGUCACUGCGUUCCAAAGGCACAAACACCUUUCGGUGUUCUUCGCAGGAUGUCAAGCCUUGGUAAGGUUCUUGGCUUAGCCUCCAAUUAAACAACACGCUCCACCGCUUGUGCGGGUCCCCGUCAAUUCCUUUGAGUUUUAGUCUUGCGACCGUACUCCCCAGGCGGGAUGCUUAACGCGUUAGCUUCGCUUCUGAGAGGGUCGAUACUCCCAAAUAGCUAGCAUCCAUCGUUUACGGCGUGGACUAC